rnacentral:rRNA from 1 species
CGGGCCUUCGGGUGCCGACGAGUAGGCGAACGGGUGAGUAAUGCAUCGGAACGUACCUUUCAGUCGGGGGAUAACGUAGCGAAAGUUACGCUAAUACCGCAUAUUCUGUGAGCAGGAAAGCAGGGGAUCGCAAGACCUUGCGCUGAUUGAGCGGCCGAUGUCAGAUUAGCUAGUUGGUGAGGUAAAGGCUCACCAAGGCGACGAUCUGUAGCGGGGUCUGAGAGGAUGAUCCGCCACACUGGAACUGAGAACACGGUCCAGACUCCUACGGGAAGGCAGCAGUGGGGAAUUUGGACAAUGGGGCAACCCUGAUCCAGCCAUGCCGCGUGAGUGAAGAAGGCCUUCGGGUUGUAAAGCUCUUUCGGCCGGGAAGAAAUCGCAUGGGUUAAUACCCUGUGCGGAUGACGGUACCGGCAUAAGAAGCACCGGCUAACUACGUG